CUACGUGCCAGCAGCCGCGGUAAUACGGAAGGUCCAGGCGUUAUCCGGAUUUAUUGGGUUUAAAGGGAGCGUAGGCUGGAGAUUAAGUGUGUUGUGAAAUGUAGACGCUCAACGUCUGAAUUGCAGCGCGAACUGGUUCACUUGAGUAUGCACAACGUAGGCGGAAUUCGUCGUGUAGCGGUGAAAUGCUUAGAUAUGACGAAGAACUCCGAUUGCGAAGGCAGCUUACGGGAGCACAACUGACGCUGAAGCUCGAAGGUGCGGGUAUCAAACAGGAUUAGAUACCCUGGUAGUCCGCACAGUAAACGAUGGAUGCCCGUUGUUAGUUCACUUAUGAAUUAGCGACCAAGCGAAAGCAUUAAGCAUCCCACCUGGGGAGUACGCCGGCAACGGUGAAACUCAAAGGAAUUGACGGGGGCCCGCACAAGCGGAGGAACAUGUGGUUUAAUUCGAUGAUACGCGAGGAACCUUACCCGGGCUUGAAUUGCAGACGAACGAUUCAGAGAUGAUGAGG
rnacentral:rRNA from 1 species